rnacentral:rRNA from 1 species
UACGAAGGGGGCUAGCGUUGCUCGGAAUCACUGGGCGUAAAGCGCACGUAGGCGGCUUACUAAGUCAGGGGUGAAAUCCUGGAGCUCAACUCCAGAACUGCCUUUGAUACUGGUGAGCUUGAGUCCGGAAGAGGUGAGUGGAACUGCGAGUGUAGAGGUGAAAUUCGUAGAUAUUCGCAAGAACACCAGUGGCGAAGGCGGCUCACUGGUCCGGUACUGACGCUGAGGUGCGAAAGCCAGGGGAGCAAACGGG